rnacentral:rRNA from 1 species
CCUACGGGCGGCAGCAGUGAGGAAUAUUGGUCAAUGGGCGAGAGCCUGAACCAGCCAAGUCGCGUGAGGGGAGACGGUCCUAUGGAUUGUAAACCUCUUUUGCCGGGGAGCAAAACGCGGUACGCGUACCGCCUCGAGAGUACCCGGAGAAAAAGCAUCGGCUAACUCCGUGCCAGCAGCCGCGGUAAUACGGAGGAUGCGAGCGUUAUCCGGAUUUAUUGGGUUUAAGGGGGGCGCAGGAGGCGAGUUAAGUCAGCGGUAAAAUUUCGGGGUUCAACCCCGACAAGCCGUUGAAACUGGCGUGCUAGAGUGGGCGAGAAGUAUGCGGAAUGCGUGGUGUAGCGGUGAAAUGCAUAGAUAUCACGCAGAACUCCGAGUGCGAAGGGAGCAUACCGGCGCGCAACUGACGCUCAGGCACGAAAGCGUGGGUAUCGAACAGGAUUAGAUACCCGUGUAGUC